CUGACUCUGAUUGGCCUGCCUAUACAGAGAGAUGAAGAGACUGUCUGACUGACUUUUGUUCAAAAAAGUGAAAUAAUACUGUUCAUAAUAUUUUUCCCCUCAGGACCAGAUGGCUGUGUGACAUGUUUUCAGUUCUGUGCAAGGAACCACCAUCACACCAUGGAAGACGUCAAUGUCAACAGCAGAAGGAAAAUUACUCUGCAGGCCCUUCCCAUCUUCCUGUGGGAAGAUGGAUUUUUUAAGACCUGGAAUGCAGAAGAAAUUGACCUGCCAGACUUCUCCGAUGCAGCUGUAGCUAUUCUCA